CUCCGGGAUGUGGUAAAUAAUCGGACGCAGGUUUGAAAGCGGAUGUGGUGGACCGAUCCAGUCAUGUGUGGAGCUGGGAUCUGGUCUGAAGUAAAACCUCCUAGCCACCUUGGGCUUGGUUACCUGAGGCGGGGAAUGAGAUGCCUGGUAUGAUGUUUGUGGCAGCCUGAUUUUUGUUGUAGGGCUGCUGAAAGUUGUCUGACACGUACGUAAUGCUGACCGGGAGAAUUUACAGUCCUGAGAUUAUAAUUGUAGAGGGUAUCAUUGAUUUCUUCAAUAUGUUUACAUCAACAUUAGUAAAACAGGACUUCACUUCCCACUGAAGCAUGUUCGUACACACAGUAAAUCAAUGCAUAAACA